rnacentral:rRNA from 1 species
CUCAGGAUGAACGCUGGCGGCGUGCUUAACACAUGCAAGUCGAACGGUGAAAGAGAGCUUGCUCUCUGGAUCAGUGGCGAACGGGUGAGUAACACGUGAGCAAUCUGCCCUUGACUCUGGGAUAAGCGUUGGAAACGACGUCUAAUACCGGAUACGAGCUGUGAAGGCAUCUUCAACAGCUGGAAAGAACUUCGGUCAAGGAUGAGCUCGCGGCCUAUCAGCUAGUUGGUGAGGUAAUGGCUCACCAAGGCGUCGACGGGUAGCCGGCCUGAGAGGGUGACCGGCCACACUGGGACUGAGACACGGCCCAGACUCCUACGGGAGGCAGCAGUGGGGAAUAUUGCACAAUGGGCGCAAGCCUGAUGCAGCAACGCCGCGUGAGGGACGACGGCCUUCGGGUUGUAAACCUCUUUUAGCAGGGAAGAAGCGAAAGUGACGGUACCUGCAGAAAAAGCACCGGCUAACUACGUGCCAGCAGCCGCGGUAAUACGUAGGGUGCAAGCGUUAUCCGGAAUUAUUGGGCGUAAAGAGCUCGUAGGCGGUUUGUCGCGUCUGCUGUGAAACCCCGAGGCUCAACCUCGGGCCUGCAGUGGGUACGGGCAGACUAGAGUGCGGUAGGGGAGAUUGGAAUUCCUGGUGUAGCGGUGGAAUGCGCAGAUAUCAGGAGGAACACCGAUGGCGAAGGCAGAUCUCUGGGCCGUAACUGACGCUGAGGAGCGAAAGGGUGGGGAGCAAACAGGCUUAGAUACCCUGGUAGUCCACCCCGUAAACGUUGGGAACUAGUUGUGGGGUCCAUUCCACGGAUUCCGUGACGCAGCUAACGCAUUAAG